rnacentral:rRNA from 1 species
UACGUAGGGUGCGAGCGUUAAUCGGAAUUACUGGGCGUAAAGCGUGCGCAGGCGGUUCGUUGUGUCUGUGGUGAAAGCCCCGGGCUUAACCUGGGAAUGGCCAUGGAAACUGGCGGACUUGAGUGCGGUAGAGGAGAGUGGAAUUCCCGGUGUAGCAGUGAAAUGCGUAGAGAUCGGGAGGAACAUCAGUUGCGAAGGCGGCUCUCUGGACCAACACUGACGCUAAUACACGAAAGCACGGGGAGCAAACAGG